ensembl:lncRNA
GCAUAGCUUCUCGUGAAUAGCACAGAUAAGGUUCCGCGAACUCGCUGACCAAAUCUGAGGCUCUUAGGAGAAAGGAACAUUUACAGCGCUGUGAACCAGGAAACUGAAUGGAGGCGCUCAGGAAGAGAGAAAAUCUCUGAAAUUCACUAGCUGUGACAUUCACUAGCUGUGAAAGUCACAGCUGUGAAAGUCCAUCUAAUUAGGCCAAGAAUUGCAGGAGACGAUAAUCAGCCCUGGCUGAGGGAAGUAAGUGCUGGGGCAGGCGGAGAAGACGAGGGGUCCGCGUCCGACUUCAGCUCUCCUCCAGCCGGUCCCACUGUGUGUCUGGUACCUUUCCCAUCUCACGUUCUCGGCUGGAGUCCUGAUGGUAAUUGACUCAUGGAAGAUAUGGCCACUGCGGUCAAGAGGUUAAUAAUUUAGACAAGAGGACAGAUGAAGGGAGAGAAGGAAGAUACAGGACAACCAGCAGGUUCAGACAGCAAGGAGACGGGCUGCCUUGUGAGGGAACUGAUGGGAGUGGAGAAAAGCAUGGGAAGUUUAGCAAACAUCACUGAGUAUUACUGUGAGCCAGACACUGUUCCUGGAGCUGGAAAGUGAGAGACCCGACGCUCACAGAAACUUCUGACAAAAGGCAAGGAGGGUGCUGCUCUGGAGAAGGUGGAAGAUAAGGCUUGUGCUCAGAACUCCCCUCAGCACCCUGGACAUGUCUUGAGUGAUUCCCAUCACUGGCCAAGGCCCACCUCACUCUACCCUCAUGCUCAGACCUGCAGGACCCCAGCCAGGCCCAGAAGGGAAACACAGCUAUCACUCCUGAGCUUGCUGGACAACAUAUUACAUCCACGUGAAAGUAUGUCCUUGGAGACAUCCAAGCUGACUCUGUCUACAAGGACCUAGAAGCAGCCAAAGAUGCUGCGAAGGAGAAAGGCAAAGGAGCCUGCCAGGGCACCCACAGAGGCAUCGGCAGGUGGGACAUCGAAGUCUCAUCAUGGCUGCCCCUUGGCAGUUCUGGAGUUCUGCAGGUGUUGACACCAGGUCCCAGACCCCCAAGAUCCAUUCAUUGGUUCUUUCGGCUAACUCCAAUUUGUGCAUACCAAAUUCCAGAACAAAAAGAGAACUUGGGCCUGGUGUGCGGAAGUGCUUUGCCCAGUCCCCUAGAAACACAAUGUGAACCAGUGCAUGUUGCCAGCCUGAGCUUUUCAGCCUGAACCUCUGGACUUACACAGGCUCCACCCCUUGCCUGUCCAGGCCUCUAGACAUUCAAGGUCUGGCUCUACAAAGCCGCCCCUGACCUCUUUUAACUGAAGCCAAGCACUGUCUUGGGGAAUUUCUUCUAGCCCUUCCCAAAUUCCACCAGGUAUUUAGUUGUCUGGGUACACAUCUUAUCUGUAAACUUCUGAACAACAGAGAUAUCUUGUUCAUCUGUGCUCACUGACCACCCACUGUCCCCGCCCCCAGCUCCUAGCCCUGUACCUUGCAUACAGCAGACAUUAACCAUUUUCUGGAUCAAAAAUCCAAGAUAAUUACCCCCCCGCCAAGUCCUUCUGAUCAGCCACUAAGGGGUCCUGGCAAAUGGUUGAAGGAGAAGAAAACAAGGCGUGUUUCCAUCUCCUUGGCAACCACGUGUAUAGUUUCACAAGAGAAUGCCAUCAGCGAUGAAGUCAGAGGGUCCUCGGAUAUAAGCUCUUCCCCCAUCCUCACUGGACAUUACCUUAAAGUUCCUCUUACACUUUCUUGGUGACACUUCUGUCCCUCACUCCUACCCAUCCAACAAAAACCUUUGGUUGACACGUUAAACACUUUUUCAAAACCCCAGUUUCCUGAACUCGAGGAAAAACAGGCUUCCCCUGCCUGGGGUGCUGGGUGCUGCCUGGCCAGCCUGUGGGGCUGGCCCCCUCUCCAGCACAUCCAUCCUGGCAGACAGCUAAGCCUCUGCGGUCUGGACCCCAGUGAGGCCUCCCGGGGAUUUGCAUAUAAUCACACACAAUGCUGGGCACAACAAAGCCACUCCACACAGCAGAGCCUUCUCAGCUGAGUGUAAGGUUUAAUCUCCCUAAUACAAAAAGUUUCUGCUUUGCUUUGGAUGGGCUCGGGGACUCUUGCUAAUGAUGCUAAACAAAUAAUCGCCCUUUAUUCCCCUCUGGAGUCUUUGCCCUACGCACUGUGGCCGCCCAGGCCCCGGUUGUUGUGGUUUACGGGCCAGGCCUGCACCUGCGCUGUUUGUGUGAGAUCACCGGAUGCCCAGCAAAACUCUUUAAAGAGAGCCAAGCACAGCGGCGGGGGUGGGUGGGGCUCAGGAGGUGCCAGGCAGACACCAGCGCUAGGCUUCCUAGACUCCCGGAGCACCCUGUUCUUCCCCUCUGGAAGCACUCACCCCAACACGCCCUUCAAAAUCCAGCCCCUUCUUUACUAGCUUCCCAAGUUAACCGUCUCCCUUUUCCAGGAUUCAGCCCCCUCGUACUUCCCUUCCCAGGCUCACCCAGCCCCUCCACCUACCCACUCCUAGCCCAGCCUUCUAGGAAUUACUCUGAACAUCACUUCGCUUACUUCAGCACUUCACCCCUAGGACUCAGAGUUUGCCCCAGCAGUGACCCUCUAAGACACUAUUUCAGAGAGAUGCUUACUAUCUUUAGUCUUG